rnacentral:lncRNA from 1 species
CUGAAAAUUUUUAACUACGAGACAACAAUACCAUCCGAUUACAUUGAAAUUAAACACCACAUCUAAAGUAAUAUAGUUGCUUUACAUCAACAGUACACCAUCUAAUUAACACCUUUUUACCUUUAUCCUUGUCAUCUAGAUCUCGUUUCCCUUUGCAAAGAGUUAUGUUGAGGAAAAUCUCCAAAUAGUCAUUUUCAUAGACUAUAUUAGCAUAUUUAGAACACACUCGAUAGGUCACCAGUUGGAUCUUUGAGCUUAUAUGAUCCUGGACUAGUUUAUCUUCAAAUGGCAAAAAUCUCACCACUUGAAAUGUUGACAGUCACAAGUACAACAAUGGAACAUCCAUCCUUUGUUUGCACUAUUUUUUCAACUCCAUCCCUUUCACGAACCCCUCACCACAUUUUGGACAUCUUCCCUUCUUGAAGCAUACUGACAACGAGUGACCUGGCUGUUUGUAACUAUGGCAAAUACUUCUAUUCCAUUCGGCCAUUGAGCAAAAUUAACGCACAGUGCAAUUGAACAACACCAAUGCAUAAUUACAAUAAAAUUGUUUAAAUUAAGGUUUGCAUUGUUCAAUUUAUUCAUAAAACUAACACUUAGAGGCUGCAUUUGCUAAGUAUUUCCCUAUCUAAUCCAUUUCUACUUUAUAAAAUUUAACAUUUCACCAAAUUUUAUUAGGCCUAUAAAUGCGAUGCCCACUUCGUAAAUUUUGAUAUUUCACAAAAAUCGCAACAAAUGACUUCCAAACAUUUAAUCUUCUACAAAAUUAUCGGAGGCGAUCCACUAGUAUCAAAUAGCUUAUUUUUACAAAAAUAUUUUCUUUUGUUCUCCAUGGAUAAUCCCGAUAAAACGUAAGAACAAUAAUGAAUUGUUUACCAGAUUUUCUAGGAGCUUUAAUCGGAUCUAUGUUUCACCCCUAAUUUGGAGAAUUUAGAAGACCCACAUUGUCGAUCUGGAGAAUUCCACAGGCACAUGCCCCGAGUUGGAGAAUUCCAGAGACCCACCCCAUCAAUUUGGAGAAUUUCAGAUGGUAGUGAGAGAGUUAUACACAGUAGUGAAAGAGACAGCAGCGAGAGAGAUGGCAGUGAGAGAGAC